rnacentral:rRNA from 1 species
UGGGGAAUCUUGCACAAUGGGGGAAACCCUGAUGCAGCGACGCCGCGUGAGCGAUGAAGCCCUUCGGGGUGUAAAGCUCUUUCGGCAGGGAAGAUGAUGACGGUACCUGCAGAAGCAGCUGCGGCUAACUACGUGCCAGCAGCCGCGGUAAUACGUAGGCAGCAAGCGUUGUUCGGAGUUACUGGGCGUAAAGGGUGUGUAGGCGGUUGCUUAAGUUUGGUGUGAAAUCUCCCGGCUCAACUGGGAGGGUGCGCCGAAUACUGAGCGGCUAGAGUGCGGGAGAGGAAAGUGGAAUUCCUGGUGUAGCGGUGAAAUGCGUAGAUAUCAGGAGGAACACCGGCGGUGUAGACGGCUUUCUGGACCGUAACUGACGCUGAGACACGAAAGCGUGGGUAGCAAACA